rnacentral:lncRNA from 1 species
UGUUCUCUCUGCUUCUGAUGGAGGUUUGGCAGCACUCAGGUGGAUCCUGAUGGGGGUCACGCUCUGCUGCUUCCAUCCCCUGUAAGACGUGAGGAUGGAGCUGAUGGCUGCGGGUGGGGAUGUCUGAAACAAGAAGCAAAUCCCUUCCUCCCCAGUGCACACUCACUCCUGGACAGGUGCCCGUCAAUGAGACGCUGCAUGUGGGGCAUGAUCCGAAGGUGACUGUAAGAGCUGCUGAAGGAGCCCUGGUGGAUGUGGCCGACGUGGUGGAAAGCCUCCUGCGCUCCCUUGGGGACACCCUGGCUGGGGCUGUCAGGCUGCUGAUAGGGGGAAAGGCGAGUGAGAGGGGCAAUGAGGUGGGAGGGUUUGGGGGACUGAGGGGCACCCACAGCCCCUCCUGGUUGGGUGGGACCCGUCUCACUUCUCUGCUUCUCUCUCCUAAUAGAAUAACAAGCAGCUGGCGUUGUGAGCACUGCCUUCCCCUAAUGGGGACAUAUGGGGACAUGGUGCUCUGUCUAUGGGCUCUGCUCCAUGCCCAGGUGCCACCAAUGCCACCAGCUCUCCCUGCAGCUCUUGAACACGGCUCCAAAUAAAGCCUUCAAUAAAGCAAAGUGCUGAUUGCUGCCUCUUCUGUCC